rnacentral:rRNA from 1 species
AUUGAACGCUGGCGGCAGGCCUAACAAAUGCAAGUCGAACGGUAGCACAGAGAGCUUGCUCUCGGGUGACGAGUGGCGGACGGGUGAGUAAUGUCUGGGAAACUGCCCGAUGGAGGGGGAUAACUACUGGAAACGGUAGCUAAUACCGCUUAAUGUCGCAAGACCAAAGAGGGGGACCUUCGGGCCUCUUGCCAUCGGAUGUGCCCAGAUGGGAUUAGCUAGUUGGUGAGGUAAUGGCUCACCAAGGCGACGAUCCCUAGCUGGUCUGAGAGGAUGACCAGCCACACUGGAACUGAGACACGGUCCAGACUCCUACGGGAGGCAGCAGUGGGGAAUAUUGCACAAUGGGCGCAAGCCUGAUGCAGCCAUGCCGCGUGUAUGAAGAAGGCCUUCGGGUUGUAAAGUACUUUCAGCGGGGAGGAAGGCAAUGCGGUUAAUAACCGUGUUGAUUGACGUUACCCGCAGAAGAAGCACCGGCUAACUCCGUG